UGGGGAAUAUUGCACAAUGGGCGAAAGCCUGAUGCAGCGACGCCGCGUGAGGGAUGACGACCUUCGGGUUGUAAACCUCUUUCAGCAGGGACGAAGCGCAAGUGACGGUACCUGCAGAAGAAGCACCGGCUAACUACGUGCCAGCAGCCGCGGUAAUACGUAGGGUGCAAGCGUUGUCCGGAAUUACUGGGCGUAAAGAGUUCGUAGGCGGUUUGUCGCGUCGUUUGUGAAAACCAGCAGCUCAACUGCUGGCUUGCAGGCGAUACGGGCAGACUUGAGUACUGCAGGGGAGACUGGAAUUCCUGGUGUAGCGGUGAAAUGCGCAGAUAUCAGGAGGAACACCGGUGGCGAAGGCGGGUCUCUGGGCAGUAACUGACGCUGAGGAACGAAAGCGUGGGUAGCGAACAGG
rnacentral:rRNA from 1 species